AAUGGGAUCUAGUCACGGAGCUAGUAGCAAGGGCGCGCGCAGUAGGGAUGCAGGCUUACGUCUGGAGCAGGCGGGGCUCCAAAGCAAUCCUUCCAGCUGCCGGGAGCCUGGAACUUGGACCCGGAGAGGAAGCCACGGGUCCCCAAGGGGCCGGGUCCGACGGCUCCACCUGCAGUCUCCCCCGGAACCCCCGCGCAGCCAAGACCGUUCAGUGCACGGAGGGCGGUGGUUGGAGGGACUCUGCAGGAGAGGUAGCAUCGCCCAGGACAAGAGCAGCGGGCUCUCCGCACGGAGCUGACCCGAACGCUGAAGGAAACCCUGCCCAUGACUGCCAGCGUCUCCGACGCCAAGCCACAGGAGUGAGGGACCGUCUGCCUGGGGACUAGAACGAGCCACUGAGAAGUCUGUGCUCACUGACCUACGGACGGGAAGGAGGUGGCACCCGAUGAAAGGAGGAAGGGACAGGGAGAAAAAAGGUUGACUCUGAAGUCACCAGGACUCAGGCCACGCGACCUGUGUGCUGGAGGAGCGAGGAGGGUGGAUCUUACCCUCUUUGGGGCGUCAGCUCGGCGGCUGUACUCCUCCGGAGCAAGGGCGGGGGGCCGUUUCGUGAACAUAUCUUUCUCCUCUGUCCACUCUUAUCUCGGUCGCUUUUCUCUGCUCUAUGGAUCUCGAGGAGAGGCACUACGGGUGUCUUUCUCCUCACUCGGAGUGAAGUUAUACUCAGGGGAUUGGAGCCCCAUAUUUUGUCUGCUGGGCAGACCCCACCCGCAGACCACUCCCUCCCUUCACUCACGUCUCUGGGUCCUACCCAUAACCCUUAAUGAGACAGUUCCUCCAUACCCACCCCAGCCUUCAAAAAAGUUAUUUUUCUAUGGCAGAUGGAGAGCCAAGAGUCUACUGCCCCCAUCCUCCACACCAGGGAAAAAACAAACAAACCAACCCUUCAACUAUGGGGCAGCAGCUUUUGGCCUUUGCUGCUUUGUUGAGGGCAGAACUUUGUUGAGCAGUGUAAAGGGCUGCUCUCUUCCGAACUCUCAUUAUCACAUCUAGAACAGUCUAUCCCCUCAUACAGGAUUCUAGCCAGGCAAGUAUCAAAAUGAAUGUCUUCAGACACUAGCGAUCCAAUGACAAGUUUGUUGUGUUCGAAAAGAUGUCAGGUUUCGAAGGCAGGCAUUAUUCGUGUUACACAAAUUGCAAAUCUGUCUUCUGCUACAAGUUUAGGGGGGGAAACGGCGUUGCUGUUUGAGCUUCAUGGGCUAGGAGAACUCGGGCCUGCGAUUGUCUGACAAGAACCUGCCCAGGCUGAAAUCAGGGGCCAGCAAAUUCGCGCCCAUCAGACAGGGAGCUGCAUUCUAAUAGCGUCAAGGAAAGCAGUGUAGACAUUCCAAAGCAAAGGUUGCAUUGAAGCCCAAGACAAUUCUUAAAUAUUUAUC
rnacentral:lncRNA from 1 species